rnacentral:lncRNA from 1 species
ACAUAGAUUUUGUUUAAUCAGGCCUAUAGAUGAUAUGCUGAAUUGAUUCGUGUUACCAAACACCAUGGACCAUGGAAAAAAAUAGAAAAACUGGAGAACAACUAAUUAUUUGAGAUCAAACCAGGCACAGAUUGUCAUUUGUAGUGGUUGUCUAUAUGUGAUUAGUUUGGUUGCAUAUUCCAAGAUCAAAUUGGAUGCUACAGGGCAAAUAAAUGUUUAAAAUUGUUGUACAUGGAGUAGAAAUUAAGCCUUUUGUUGGCCCUGUAAAUACCCCUACUGAUAUUUCAUUGAUACAUUUCUUUUGAUAUGAAAAGAUAGACACCAAAACAGUUGUUGACGGCCUUGUGGAGACCUCUGCAUUUGUUAUUUUUCCUGGUGGAUGUUGUGUAGUUCUCAAACUUUAAAAUACCCCAUAUUGUUCCAUUUUUAUAUGUACCUUUUUAUAAUAAUACAAGGUACUGACAAAAUGAUAAAAUUUGAUAUUUUAUACCAUUUUUAAAGAUGGGUGAAAUUGAAAGUUAACUUGUUUAACACAGGAUGUUUUGUAAAUGAAAAAAAAAAAUGCAUUUCUAUUGCAGGAUUAUAGACUCCAUGAUGCAUCUGGUUGAAAUCUUAGUUAUAACAUAGGCUUAUAAAUGUAGGUUAUGUAGGUAUUUCCAUGUUGGUAUGUUUUGGUGUAAUUUAUUUUCUGAUAUUUAAUUGUAAAGUAGCACUAGCUAGAACCCCCAGUUUCCACUGUGCUUGGAUUGACUGGUUAGUGAUCCAUAUGCAUAAACACAAAACACACACCAUGCAGUUAUGUUACAAGAAGCUAGCUAGCAUACUACAGAGGGUGUCUAAGGACCAGAAGGUGCAUAUACUACAGAUGAAAGCAGUGCAUAUUAAAAGCAGAUAGCCAUAUAAAGUUCAUGCAUAAAAAAUAUGUUCAAAAGUGUAUAUUUGUGCAGUGUUAAUUAUACAAACAACAAAACAAAAUGAAAAAGAAUGCAGAAAGUUGAAAUACAUAUAAAAAGGGAGA